rnacentral:rRNA from 1 species
CAGCCGCCGCGGUAAUGCGUAGGUGGCAAGCGUUGUCCGGAAUUAUUGGGCGUAAAGGGCUCGCAGGCGGUUUCUUAAGUCUGAUGUGAAAGCCCCCGGCUCAACCGGGGAGGGUCAUUGAAAACUGGGAAACUUGAGUGCAGAAGAGGAGAGUGGAAUUCCACGUGUAGCGGUGAAAUGCGUAGAGAUGUGGAGGAACACCAGUGGCGAAGGCGACUCUCUGGUCUGUAACUGACGCUGAGGAGCGAAAGCGUGGGGAGCGAACAGGAUUAGAUACCCCCGUAGUCCCUGUCUCUUAUAC